UAAUGAGUGAACUUUAUUCAUUACAACCAUAUACAUGUUGAGCUAUCUGGCGGAAAACAGAUGGCUCAUUAUUUCAAUAUUCUGCUAAGGACAGCCAGUGGUCGGCUGUCUUUUUUAUAUU
rnacentral:ncRNA from 1 species